rnacentral:rRNA from 1 species
CCCAUGUGAACAUACCUAUUGUUGCUUCGGCGGGAUUGCCCCGGGCGCCUCGUGUGCCCCGGAUCAGGCGCCCGCCUAGGAACUUUAACUCUUGUUUUAUUCUGAAUCUUCUGAGUAGUUUUUACAAAUAAAUAAAAACUUUCAACAACGGAUCUCUUGGUUCUGGCAUCGAUGAAGAACGCAGCGAAAUGCGAUAAGUAAUGUGAAUUGCAGAAUUCAGUGAAUCAUCGAAUCUUUGAACGCACAUUGCGCCCGCCAGUAUUCUGGCGGGCAUGCCUGUCUGAGCGUCAUUUCAACCCUCAUGCCCCUAGGGCGUGGUGUUGGGGAUCGGCCAAAGCCCGCGAGGGACGGCCGGCCCCUAAAUCUAGUGGCGGACCCGUCGUGGCCUCCUCUGCGAAGUAGUGAUAUUCCGCAUCGGAGAGCGACGAGCCCCUGCCGUUAAACCCCCAACUUUCCAAGGUUGACCUCAGAUCAGGUAGG